rnacentral:rRNA from 1 species
AGCGAACGCUGGCGGCAGGCUUAACACAUGCAAGUCGAACGGGCACUUCGGUGCUAGUGGCAGACGGGUGAGUAACGCGUGGGAACGUACCUUUCGGUUCGGAAUAAUUCAGGGAAACUUGGACUAAUACCGGAUACGCCCUUCGGGGGAAAGAUUUAUCGCCGAUAGAUCGGCCCGCGUCUGAUUAGCUAGUUGGUGAGGUAAUGGCUCACCAAGGCGACGAUCAGUAGCUGGUCUGAGAGGAUGAUCAGCCACAUUGGGACUGAGACAAGGCCCAGACUCCUACGGGAGGCAGCAGUGGGGAAUAUUGGACAAUGGGCGCAAGCCUGAUCCAGCCAUGCCGCGUGAGUGAUGAAGGCCUUAGGGUUGUAAAGCUCUUUUGUCCGGGAAGAUAAUGACUGUACCGGAAGAAUAAGCCCCGGCUAACUUCGUGCCAGCAGCCGCCGUAACAC